AGAGUUUGAUCAUGGCUCAGGAUGAACGCUAGCGGCAGGCUUAACACAUGCAAGUCGAGGGGCAGCGGGGUGUAGCAAUACACUGCCGGCGACCGGCGCACAAGUGCGUAACGCGUAUGCAACCUACCCAUGACAGGGGCAUAACACUGAGAAAUUGGUACUAAUUCCCCAUAACAUUCGAAGAGGCAUCUCUUUGGGUUGAAAACUCCGGUGGUUAUGGAUGGGCAUGUGUUGUAUUAG
rnacentral:rRNA from 1 species